UGCCAGCCGCCGCGGUAAUACAGAGGGUGCAAGCGUUAAUCGGAAUUACUGGGCGUAAAGCGAGCGUAGGCGGUUGACUCAGUUGGAUGUGAAAGCCCCGGGCUCAACCUGGGAACUGCAUUCAAUACUGGUCGACUAGAGUACGGUAGAGGGUAGUGGAAUUUCUGGUGUAGCGGUGAAAUGCGUAGAUAUCAGAAGGAACACCGGUGGCGAAGGCGGCUACCUGGACCGAUACUGACGCUGAGGCACGAAAGCGUGGGGAGCAAACAGGAUUAGAUA
rnacentral:rRNA from 1 species